UGUGUGUGUGAUCUCUGCUGUUAUCGCUUGGAGAUUCAAAUCUGAGUUUGGGAUAAGAAGUGGAGCCCAUCUAAAGUCUGACUGCACAAAAUUAAGACUGGACUGUUGAUCCUGUGAACGAUGGAUGAAGAUCUGAAAAAGACGAACCCUCACAAUGGGAGCCUCUCAGGGGCUUUGGAUGCCAAAAAGCCCGAUCAGCCAAAAGCAGCAGCUCUGCAGAAGAAUGUGGGUCUCUUAAGUGGCAUCUGUCUGAUAGUGGGAACAAUGAUCGGCUCGGGGAUCUUCAUUUCUCCCAAAGCAGUUCUGGAGGGUACUGGAGCAGUGGGUCCAUGUCUGUGUGUGUGGGCGGCGUGUGGAGUGCUGGCUAC